CACGCCCCCUUUUCUGUUUAUCAACCAGGUACGCCCCACUUCCGGUUUAAGCUCCGCCUCUUCCGGCUUUCGUGUUACGUCACUUCCGGUUCCGUGGGCGACACAAACAAAGGGCCGCGAAGCCGCUGAGAUGGGUUCCCAUGGCAGCCGGGGGGGGGAGGAGGAAGAGGAAGAUGAGGAGGAAGAUGGAGACGGAGCGUUGGAGAGAGCGCUCAGAGCACUGCUCCAACAGUCUCCUCAAGAGGCGUCGGAUGAGGACAGUGAUGACGGCAGCAGCGUCCAGGCCCCGCCCCCAGGUGGGAAAAAGGGGCGGGGCUUAAUAAAGGGGGCGGGGCCAAAGGGAAAGGGGGC